rnacentral:tRNA from 1 species
AUUACUUUGGCAGAUUAGUGUAUUAAAUUUAGAAUUUAAAAUAAAUAUAUUUUUAAGAAGAA